GCCGAGAGGGUGAAGAAUACAAGACCUGUUUUACAGGGAAUAAUUCCAGCCUUACUUUUCAGGUUUUCUAACCUCUUGGCCACCCAUU
rnacentral:ncRNA from 1 species